GGAAUCGGCUGCCUUUGCUGCCGUGACAACCAGUUUUCCUACUCUCACAUCUUACAGCUAGCAUCAAAGUGGGACGCAGCGGAACUACAUUUCCCAGCAGCCCUCGCGCGGGCUCUUGCCCUUCCGUGCAGCGGUCCCAAAACCUCAGUGCCACAGACGCCUGGAGGAGGCGAAAGGAAAGCUGGGCGCUGUGUGCGCGUCGGGGACCAGGAGACCCGUGGGGGCUGCCUCCAGCGAGCAAACGCUCAACAACCGAGCUACAUGCCCAGCCCAGGCCUGUGUGUUGAAGGUUGCUUUUCCAUGAGGCCCAACCCGGAAGGAUGGAGGUUUCAUGGAGAGAACAAGCAGAGAAUGGAGUCGUGCCUGCAGAACCACUAUUCAGGAUCAGUGUUGCAGCCUGGCCUCAGGAUGGAGGCUCCAGCUCAGGAGGCAGAGCAGGGAGGAAUCCCCAAGGCUGAUCCAAGGGAGGAGGGGCACCUCCAAGAGGAUGGAGCUGGUGGGUGCCCCACUUACCAUGAGGACCUGUGCAGAGGGAUGACUGGUGUCAGGAAGACUCCCCCAGGCUGCAGCUCACAGUUCUGCAGCCUGAAUUGAGCCCCAGCUCUGGGACCCAUCACAGAACUGGAGCUGGACCUCUGGUACAGGAGCAUUACAGCCCCGCUUCCUCUCAGGACCCCGACCUGGUCACUUCUCUGGGGCCACAUGCAGGGGAGGGCCCCUGUCAGAGCCCACCUGGUGCCAGGUCUUCCCUGGCACAACAUCACAGAGCAUCUCGCAGGGAAAAGUCCCCUGUUUGUGACCACCGCGGUGAUCAUGUAUUGCUUGGGGGCUGCUCCUGGGCACAGCUGCACGAUGUCCCAAAGGACUGUCAGCUCUGCCAACUGGGGGCGGAGGUCCAGAACUGCCAGAGGAACCUGCCAUUGACCUCCUUCCAAUGGAGCUCCUCUGUGGGGCAGCCCUGUGCAUGCAACUCCAGCGAGGCUUUCACCUGGAGAGCCCUGCUGGCCCUGCUGUGGAGCCCCACCCAUGUGCCAAUGCCUCCAGCUCCUCAGCCCAGCGGCUGUAUGCAUGUUCCAAGUGUGGCCAGUCCUUCAACCAGUGCUCCAACAUCAAUGAGCACCAGAAGCGUCACAUGGACCAUGUCGCACCCUGACCUCGACCCACACUUGAGCUGAAUGUUGUGAGGAUGGGUCAGCUCAGCCAGCCACCUGGUGGUGGCUGACCCAGGGCCCUGAGGUGGAGUCCUGGAGGUGUAAAUUCACUGUCCCUGGUCCUGCCCUAGUGGGCUGCACGUGAGAGUGUUGAGCGUGCUGGGACUCAAAGGAAGUCACCAGUCAUGGCCAGAAAUAGGAUCCCAUCUACAGCUGGUAUUCUGUUGAUUCCCUGGGUCUGGCUGGGACAUGUUUCAGUGUUUCUUGACCUAAGGAAAGUAGUUCACAGAGUGGAGACAGUAAAUGCGGAUCCUGCAAUGAGGUGCAGCCAUGCAGAGAUGGGCCAGAAUUGGAUGCCCCAGCUGGUACAGUGUUCUCUCAGAAUCAUGUGAAUUUGCGAUCCAAGGCUCAAGGUGUCUCCCAGAAAUGGGUUGAAUGGGAGACCUUUCUUUCCUACCUCCCAUCUGGAACAAGGCUGCACAAGGAUUUUUCUUUUUUCAGGUAGGGGCCAGAGAGAGGCCAAAGCCUUGUAGAUGUGAACCCAGAGGGUGGAAGGAGGCCUAGUGUAGUGGGGAGGUGAGGGGCAUCUGACAUCCCCAGUCUCACCUGCUUAUCUUAUGGGAGGGGGCACCUCACUCUUGCAUUUUGUCUGUUCUCUCCACAGUUCUAGCCAGAAGGCCAUUUAAAAAAAUCUGCCCAGCUUGAAGUACUUCUGGCUCCUCUGGACCCAGUACUGUAUCCACAGACCUUAGGUUGGUAGGGUCCUCUUGUCCUGCACAGGCUUAGUGAGGGGGUCUUGGAUCUCUUUCCUGCCAUCACCCCUGCUUGUCUUCUCUGAGAGGGGCAGACUAUCCACACACAGACCAGCCAGGAAGAUUUGAGAUGGUGAUGCUUGGGUUGAUGGAAACCAGGCUAGGUGGGGGAUAGGAUGGGGAAAGCAGAAAGCAGACCAUGGCAGGUGAGUAGCAAGGCCUAUCUAGGACAGGAGGGGCAGGGGGAGCCUGCCUGGGAGGUUGGCAAGUGUGUGGGGGGCUGUGCAUAUACAUAAUGUUACAUAUGAUAAAUGCACUUCAAAGUUCCUAUGUCCAGAAGUCUUGGAUUCUUCUCCACAUUAUACCAGAGGAGCUCUGGAAGUUUAAGUCUCGUAGAAUUUGGGCCACAACUGAGUCCAGGUCUCAGUCAAACUCCCAGACUAACUUGAUAUUCAAGCUGCUCUAGCUAACACCUGCACCCAGUCUUGUAACUGCCCCAUAUAGAUAACAUUGAUCCAGGCCAGUAUUGUAUCCCAUCCUUGGACCAAAUAUACUUUAGAUGCCAAUUCUGGCUCAUCUCUGUGUGGAUGUUCCCCAGUUUAUGUCAAUGACAGGAGCAAAGUCUUGUAAUUAUUUUGGAGUAUAAUCAGUAUCCCUCACUUGUCCAUCCAGAAGCUCCAGGAUCAACAGAAGUCUAGGGCUAGGGGCAUGGCUUAAGUGGUAGAGCACCUUCCUAGUAAAUGUGAAGCCCUGAGUUCAAACUCUAGUACUGGCCAGAGGAAAAGGGGAGGGGGGAGGGAGGGACGGGUGUCUAGUGGCAGUAAGGGGAUGAUGGAUUGAGAGAAUGUGGGGUCCCCUUGCCAGGCAACUGCCUCAGGUGAGAUUUUUGUAGGUCUUAAGUAAUGACAGAUUGAUCAGGGCAUCCCUAGAAAUGAAGUGGAUGUGUACUCUACUAAACUUACAUGGCUUAUGUGACAAAUAAUCUAGAUCCAGUGUUUUAGAAGUCUGAUUUGAGUUGUCAGAAUAAAGAUUCACAGCCUGUCA
ensembl:lncRNA